rnacentral:tRNA from 1 species
CGCGGAAUGGGGUAGUUGGUUGACCCGCUUGGCCCAUAACCAAGAGACCAGCAGUUCGAGUCUGCUUUCCACAACCA